GCAGAGUGGUCCCUGCAGCCCCAGCAGGUCCUGGAGGGUGAGGAACAGCUGUCAUGAUCUCUACAGCACCUCUCUACAGCGGGGUGCACAACUGGACCAGCACAGAGCGGAUUCGCAUGUGUGGCCUCAACGAGGAGAGGAGAGCCCCCAUUUCUGAUGAGGAGUCAAAAACGAGCAGCUCCCAGCACUUGGGGUCUCAAGAGUUUUGUGUCAGCAGCAGCCUUUCAGAGGUGGAGCUCACAGCAGUCAGCGGUGGUGACAGCAGUGCCCAGGGGCUGGAUGCUGAUGGCAAGGUGGAGGAAAAGCUUGGACCCAAACUGGAGGAGCAGCCACCCGAUCCCAACCCAAACCUGGAGUGUGUGGGAAAGACUGUGACAGACGACACCCUGAGCCCUCUGGCAGGUCAGGGGGAUGGCAGAGGGCAGGAGCCAGCGACCCCCAGAGCUGUGGAGCAGGAGAGCAGUGAUGCUGAUGCUGCCUGGACACCAGCAGAUCCUCCCAGCAACAAGCAGGCUGAUGCUGCCCCAGCCUGCUCCGUGGCUCCAGAGAAUGAGCUUGCUGGGAACGAGAAAACUCCCUCAAGCACUGCAGCACAAGGGCCAGGCGUGCUGGCAGAAGGGACGCUAUCUGUGGUUGUCUCCAGCUGCAACACCUCUGCCUCCAGUCCCGCCACCUUCACAUUGAACAGGGUUUGCUUUCCCCCCUCUCAGGCCCCUGCUAUGCAAAAGCUGCCCCUGUCCUUCCAGGCUGGGGCUGUGCUGAGCCCAAGCCAGUCUCUGGUGUACAUCCCCCCUCCCAGCUGCGGGCAGCCACUCAGCGUGGCCACGCUCCCAGCCACUCUGGGGGUCUCCUCCACACUCACCUUCCCCAUCCUGCCUUCCUACCUGCACGAGCGUUGCCUACCAGGCAUUAUCGCUUCCCCAGAGCUGCGUUCCUACCCCUACACCUUCUCUGUCACCAGGCCCUUGGCUUCGGAUGCCAAAGUGGUGUCUGUGGAGGUGAAUCAGCUGAGCUGCCCCCCACCUUCAGGCGGAAGUAGUGCCCAGGCUGCUGCUGAGACCUCUCCCCUGUCCAGCACCGGCCUGGCCCUGCCCUCCAGCCAGGCUCUGCCGGCAGCACCAGCACCAGGCGGGAGCACCGCUCCCUCCUCUGGCACGGCUGUGCAGGCCAGAGCCCCGGCAGCUCCCGAGCCACAUGCACCGGGAGCUGCCACUUCCCUGUCUCCUCUGAAGUCCCCUCCCCAGCUAGAGCGUGAGAUGGUCUCAUCCCCGGAGUGCAGUGAGAUGCCUCUCGAUCUCUCCUCCAAGUCCAACCGCCAGAAACUGCCUCCACCCAGCCAGCGCAAGACCCCUCCCAUGCCCAUCCUCACCCCCGUGCACACCAGCGGCAAAGCGCUGCUCACCACCGUCCUCUCCAAGUCCCAGCGCGCGGCACAGGCCACGGGCAGCAGCGUCACCUCGUGCCUCGGCACCACCCCACCCUUGGUCAUCUUUCCUGAGUUCCUGCGCAACGGCGAGCAGGGCUCCUGGGUGAAGAACACCACGCUCAUCAGCACCAUUCCCGGCACUUACGUUGGUGUCGCCAACCCAGUGCCGGCCUCUCUGCUGCUCAGCAAGGAUGUCGGCGUGAGCCUCGGCAGGGACCCACGCCACCUGCCCAAGCAGGAGCCCAUCUCCAUCAUAGACCAGGGCGAGCCCCGCAGUGCCGGCAUUCCCUGUGGGAAGAAAGCCAACCAGGUUGGCACGGAAGGACACCAGGAUCCUGCCAGGAGACUUCUUCAUGGUAGAGUUGCUCCAGGAGCUCCUUUGUGUCAGUCCAAGGACAUCGCCACCUGGAAUCCUGUCCAGGGAAGCAUGUACCCACGAUGCCCCGUCAAUGGAAAACCUUCCAAUCCUCAGCUUCUGCCUCUGGGCUGGUCUCCGUACCAUCAAACCCCGCUGCUUUCCAUCGGCAUCUCCACAGCAGGACAGCUGCCCCUGAACCAGAGCAGCCCCUGCAAGACAGCCGGGGCAGGCAAGCUGCCAGCAUUCCCGAGCGUGCAGCCUGCUGAGCCCAGCGCGGCCGCCCAGAGCGUGCCGGAGGGUGAACAAGAUGCUGUGGCCAAGAGCAAGAGCUGCCGGGCCUUGCCCAAGCCCUGCGAGGAGCCGACCAACCCAGCACCACCAGAGGCAGGUCCAGCUUUCCAUACCAGCACUUUGGAUGGGAAAGGGGGUAAGGGGAAGCUGGACAACACUCUGAAGAGUCAGGAGUGCACUCAGCCAGAGGCUGACUCCGGUCAGGAGAGCAACGCACAGACUGAGGCUCCCCAGGAGAGCUGUAGCCUCAAACAGCCAGAUGCAAAACCCAAAAACCAAGUGUUAGCGGCGUAUUUGUCACAUGACCUGCCAACGGCUGGGCAGCAGGGCCUGCAGAUGGUGCCAGAGGUGCCCACAGAUGGCCAGCACAAGGAGCUGGGCUGCAAGGGCUCCCAGGAGCCACCGGCCACGGAGUCGUGUGUGCAGCAGGUGGAUCUGUGCAGGGUGAAGAAGGAACGAGUGGAGUGUGAUGUGUCCUUUCCCUCGGUGACCUGCCUGCGUGCUGGGGCGGCUCCCCAGGCCUUUGCUGAGGCUAAGCUCAAAGGAACGGGGCAAAUCAAGCAGGAGGGUGGCACACGCUGCAAGGCCAAACGGCAGCAUGAUGGGGACACCAGGCAGAGCCACAAGAGACUGAAGUGCCAAGGCCAGAACAGUGAUGAGUCCCCAAGCAAGUCGCGAAGCCGGAGCGUGCAUGGCCGGAAGUGGCAAAAACACCACGACAAUCCACGUGAGCUUGGCAAGCAGGAAGGCCGGGAAGGCCGAGGCAGCUCGGGUGCCAUCACGGAUCACAACAGCCUCGGGGUAAAGCGCAAGCGUAGGAGGCCAGCGAAGACGGAGUGCCCAUCUCCGGCUCACCGUGGAGAUAGCCACGAGGAAGGUUACUUGGAGAAGAAGCCGAAGAACAACUUCCGGGAUUUCAUUCCGGUGGUGCUGAGCAGCCGGACGCGCAGUCAGUCAGGAAGCAUUGCUGGCUCUUCUUCUGGUGUGACAGGAGAGUGUGAUGUGAGUGGUCCGGAGAUUUUACCAUUGCUGGAGGAGGAUCAGGAAGAGGAGGAGGAGGAAGAGGAAGAGGAGGAGGAGGAGGAGGAGGAGGAGGAGACAUCCUUGAAACAUCGCAAGCUGCGCAAAUCCCACAGGACAUCCCGCUGCCACAACCGCAGGGACAGGGACAGGUCUGUGUCUGAGAGGAGCAGCUGUCACACGAGGAGGACCCGGGAGCUGCCCUGGAGAGCAGAAUCACCCAGGCAGGUGUGGGAGCCCAACGAGGAGGAGGAGGAGGAGGAGGAGGAUGGCCACAUCAAAAGGAAGAAAAGGAGACGGCAGAAAAGUCGGAAAUACCAGACAGGGGAAUACCUGACUGAGCGGGAGGAGGAGCAAGUGGGAUAUCCCCACCGGAGGCGGAAAUCCAAAGCAGAUUGCAGGCACCGGAAGCAGAAGGAGUCUGGGAAGAGCAAAGGCACAGAGCUGCAGCUGAGGAGCAGGCUAUCCCCAUCCCCCCGGAAAUCUCAAGGACACACGGACUUUCGGAAUGGCUUCUUCCUGGAGCACUCCGACACCUCUCCUGUCCAAGAAGAGCUAGAGAAACCGUCAGGAAAACGCAAAUGUAAAACCAAACACCUGGCAGGGAUCUGUGACGAGGGGAAGGAGUUGUAUUCCUUUCUUUCCCAGGGGAAAGGCUGCUGCAACCAGCCCAAAAUGUGCUCUCCGAAGAAGCCCCAGGACUUGUGGACACUUUGUAAGUCCCAUCGGGCCAGCCCAGGGAGUUCUCCUGAGCCGCCCCCAGCCCAGAACGUUCCCCCCGGAGCUCGGCGGCUGAUUGUGAACAAGAACGCAGGGGAGACGCUCCUGCAGCGAGCGGCUCGCCUGGGCUACAAGGACGUGGUGCUGUACUGCCUGCAGAAGAAGAGCAGUGACGUGAACCACCAUGACAACGCGGGGUACACGGCCCUGCACGAGGCCUGUGCACGCGGCUGGAUCGACAUCCUGCACAUCCUGCUCCAGCACGGCGCCAACGUCAACUGCAGCGCCCAGGACGGCACCAGGCCUAUCCAUGAUGCAGUAGCGAAUGACAACCUAGAAACCAUGUGGCUUCUCCUUUCCUAUGGUGCUGAUCCCACUCUGGCCACAUACUCUGGGCAGACAGCAGUGAAGUUGGCCACCAGCGAUGUGAUGAAGCGCUUCCUCUGUGAUUACCUGUCAGAUCUGCAGGGCCGCAGUGACGGAGACCCUCGGACAGCCUGGGAUUUCUAUAGCAGCUCCGUGCUCGAGGGGAAGGACAGCAUCGGCUGUGACUUGCUGCUCAACCCUCCAGGGAGCUCAGACCAGGAGGAAGAGGAGCAAGAAGCAGAUAACUUCAUGUUUGAGUUCUCAGACAAGCCACUGCUUCCCAGCUACAACCUCCAAGUGUCUGUCUCCCGGGGGCCCUGCAACUGGUUCCUGUUCUCUGAUGUGCUCAAGCGGCUGAAGCUGUCCUCCCGCAUAUUUCAGGCCCGCUUCCCGCACUUCGAGGUGGCCACGCUGCCCCGGGCAGAGUUCCAGCGCCAGGUGUCCCUCAGCCAGGUGCUGGCGCAGGAGGAGGUGCCAGCGAGCCCCGAGCUGGCGCCGGGCACGGCAGAGACUGUGGAGCUGGUGCACUACGAGCCCGAGCUGCUGCAGCUCUUGGGCUCGGUGGUGGAGUACCAGGCCUGGAGCAGCUGACGGGGACAGGCCACUCCCGGCAUCACGAGGCAAUAAUAAGGACCAAGGGGAAGCAGCUCUCUCAGCGCCAGCAGCAGGGACCCGAGUCUUUGAGCAGCCGCUCCUCCUCUCCUCAGGGUCUCCUCCAGCUGGGGAGGGAGGACCCUCGCCUCCAAGGCAUUCCCAAGGUCCCCCGCCCACAAGCAGUGGCGGUCGCUGCCGCCGCCGCCUCAUCCAGCUCCGGUGGGUGCUGGAGCCCCCUGCACGGGGCUCAGCGAGGGGUGGGAACCGCCGCCCCUCCCCACCGGACCCUACGGAACUGCGCCUCUCCGUUUGCCCUCCCCCCCGCCCAAUGUCUUCCAUAGUAUUUAUUUAAUUAGUAUUUAAUUUGUAAUGUUUUCUUUGUUUUUGCUGAGUCUGUAUCACUGUGAUGGUGAGCUCCGGGCUGUGGAUGAGGCCGUCCCCCGCCCCUCUCCAGCGUACCCCGAGGCCAGCCAGGCCCAGGGGUUCCCGUCCCUCCCUGGCAACAAGCCAGGGAACAGCCCCUUCCCGUGGCUUUGGAGCUGGCUCCUGCUGCCAGCGCUCAGCCGCAGCCGGGAGCCAGCCCCACCGCUCCAUCCUCUCCCGCGCUCCUCCUCCAUCUCAUUCGUGCUGCUGCUCCCUGUCCCCGGCGGCGCCGCCCGGGCAGGCGCAGCCCGCGGCCCGCAGCGCGUCCCCCGCUUCGGCAGCUUGUGCCCCGCCCCAGGCUCUGUCCCCUGGGCAGGAGCCGCCCCCUUGGCCCGCUCCCCGCCGGUGUCCCGGGAGCAGCUUUCUGUGCAGCAGCGGGUGCGGGCGGGCUGCUCUGCCUCGGGGCCGGUACAGUUUUAUUGUACAGGUGCUAACAGGACUGAGGUCGGGACAAUCGGGGGAUUUCUGGCUCUCCCCGCUCCGCAGCGGGAGCCUUGGGUGUCUUGGAAGCUGCUACUUCAUCAGCAAGGUGUUCUGCUUGAGUUGGUACCCCAGAGAGGCUCCUUAAACACCCUAUGGGGAGGAUGUGGCCCUGCUGUGUCACAAUGGCCCCUGGUGUCAUGAGGCCCUGCAUCACCCAAUGCAGUUGUCAGGUGUGUUGGGCUUGCUUGGCCAGGUUUUGGCAGCAAGGGGGCUACAGGGGUGGCUUCUGUGAGAAUUGCCAAAACUUUCCCCGCGUCCAACAGAGCCAAUGCCACCGGCUCCAAGAUGCAACCACUGCUGGCCAAGGCUGAGCCCAGCAAAGAUGGUGGUGACACCUCGGGGAUAAAAGAUUUAACUGCAGCCCAUGGGAAGGACUCCGCUGGAGAACUUCAUGGAGCACUGGCUCCUGUGGGAGGGACCCCACACUGGAGCAGGGGAAGGACUACAACCCCUCUCCCUGAGCAGGGACAGAAACAGCGUGUGAUGAACGGACCAUGGCCCUCAUUCCCUAUCUCCUUGGGAGGAUGGAGAGCCCAGAAAGGAAAGGGAGGGAGGGGAAGUGUUUUUAAAAUUUGUUUUACUUCUCAUCAUCCUGCUCUGAUUUUGAUUGGUAAUUGAUUUUCCCAAGUUGAGUCUAUUUCUACAGUCUGGAGAACAGGCAGAGAGCCUGCAGGCCU